GUGUUUUAGGUAUAUCAUAAGCCACUCUGUAGAAAUAAUCGACAUUUUCACUUUCGUUGUCAUUACACUCAGCUUUACACUGGUACUCCUUUAAGUAUUCUGGGGCUUUUCUUUGUCUCAUCGGGUAUCUCUUUUCCCCCUCUUUUCCCUGAGUACUAUCUGUCUGGGUUAGACCUGCCUCAGUGUUCUCAACAUUUGACUCUUUAAUCUCCUUCGGCUGUCCCUGAUUUUGGUUGACUGCCUUCUGUGGUGUUUCUCCAUAACUCUCAAUGUCUUCUCCCAUGUCACAAACUAUCUGUGUUUGGCUGUCUGUGCUACCUUUGGUGAUGAAUUUCACCAGUCUAUGUUUUAGGACUUUUCCUGUCUCGGGAUAAUACACGUUAUAUGCUGGACUAUAUCUGUCACAGCCUACAAAGAUCCCCUUUUUGCAUCUUGAAUCCAGAUUUUUCUUAUCCUGUUGAUAAACGUAGCAUUGAGAGCCAAAUAACUUCAUGUUGGAUAGGUUUGGUGUUUUCCCUGUGAAAACGUAGUAAAGUGUCUGCUCUAGUCGCUUACUGUAGCACCUGUUGCGGAUUUGAGCUGCUGUCUGUACAGCAUGUGUCCAUAAUUGCUUUGGGAGGUUACUCUCCAACAGCAUGCAUCGAGACAUCUCGAAUAAGGUUCUCCAACCUCUUUAGGCAGUUCCAUUCUGAUGCGGUGUGCUGGUGAUGUCACUCCUGCAGCUGAUCAGCAUGGGAUUAAAUGGCUGUGCCAAGCCAGAGUGCGGGUUGCUUCAGUGGAAGCCAGAGCGGAACCAGAGAGGUUGUGAGGUGCUGCCGUGAGGAGGUUUUGGGAGCCAGUAAAGAAGGAGCUAUACGGCGUACUUGUCUUCCUUUUGGAGAUUGUUCUCAGUUACUUUGUGUUGAGUUUUCCAUCAUUAAAUAUCCUGUUUUGCCGUUGGUCCAGAUCUCCCGGGUUUAUUAUUUGAACUUGUUUACGUCCUCCACCCCUAGACACUUUAGGGACUUAACACUCAUCCUGGAACAGAAAGAUGUUUGCUCUGCCUCUGUCUCUCCAUCAGCUCGCUUCA
ensembl:lncRNA